rnacentral:rRNA from 1 species
AACCUUACCAGGUCUUGACAUCCUUUGACCAUCCUAGAGAUAGGAUUUUCCCUUCGGGGACAAAGUGACAGGUGGUGCAUGGUUGUCGUCAGCUCGUGUCGUGAGAUGUUGGGUUAAGUCCCGCAACGAGCGCAACCCUUAUUGUUAGUUGCCAUCAUUYAGUUGGGCACUCUAGCGAGACUGCCGCAGACAAUGCGGAGGAAGGUGGGGAUGACGUCAAAUCAUCAUGCCCCUUAUGACCUGGGCUACACACGUGCUACAAUGGAGAGUACAACGAGUCGCAAAGCCGCGAGGCUAAGCCAAUCUCUUAAAGCUCUUCUCAGUUCGGAUUGUAGGCUGCAACUCGCCUACAUGAAGCCGGAAUCGCUAGUAAUCGCGGAUCAGCACGCCGCGGUGAAUACGUUCCCGGG